rnacentral:rRNA from 1 species
UACGUAGGGGCCUAGCGUUGUCCGGAAUUAUUGGGCGUAAAGAGCUCGUAGGCGGUUCGGCAAGUCGGAUGUGAAAUCUCCACGCUUAACGUGGAGGGGCCAUUCGAAACUGCUGUGACUCGAGUGCCGGUAGGGGAGUGUGGAAUUCCCGGUGAGCGGUGAAAUGCGCAGAUAGUCGGGAGGAACACCAGUAGCGAAGGCGGCACUCUGGGCCGGAACUGACGCUGAGGAGCGAAAGCGUGGGGAGCGAACAGG